GGAUUAUAUAGUUUAAAUUACACAAUGAUCUUGCAAGGUCAUUUCUAUUUUCAUUCUUGUUGUUUUUUUUUUUUUUUAAAGAUUUUAUUUUUCCUUUUUCUCCCCAAAGCCCUCCGGUACAUAGUUGUGCAUUUUUAGUUGUGGGUCUUUCUAGUUGUCGCACAUGUGAUGCCACCUCAACAUGGCUUGAUGAGCGGUGCCAUGUCCCCACCCAGGAUUCGAACUGGCGAAACCCUGGGCCACUGAAGUGGAGCGAGCAAACUUAACCAUUUGGUCAUGGGGCCGGCCCCCAUUCCUGUUUUUUUUUUAAAAGAUUUUAUUUUUUCCUUUUUCUCCCCAAAGCCCCCUGGCACAUAGUUGUGUAUUCUUCGUUGUGAGUCCUUCUAGUUGUGGCAUGUGGGACGCUGCCUCAGUGUGGUUUGAUGAGCAGUGCCAUGUCCGCGCCCGGGAUUUGAACCAAUGAAACACUGGGCCGCCUGCAGUGGAGCGUGCGAACCUAACCACUCAGCCACGGGGCCAGCCCUGCCCCAUUCCUGUUUUAAAGAUGAGGAAGCUCAACCUGAGAAGGUUUAUGUCAUGUCCAUGAAUAACAACAGCUGGUGGGCCCUAAAUCCAAUGACAAGUGUCCUUAUAAGAGACGGAGGAGGAGAAGACACAGGGAGAAAAGGAGAAGGACAUGUGAAGAUGAAGGCAGAGGUUGGAGUUACAGUGUCACAAGCCAGGCAGUGUCUGGAGCCAACAGAAGUUGGAAGAGGCAAGAAAGGAUUCUCCCCUAGGGCCUUCAGAGCGAGCAUGGCCCAGUUGAUGCCUUGAUUUUGGCCUCCCUUCUAGGACUGUGAGAAAAUAAAUUACUAUUGUUAAAACCACCAAAUUUGCAGCAAUUUGUUACCGCAGUCACAGGAAACUUAUACAUCUUCUUGUCCAAGUUUUCCAACUGAAGCUUUGAAAUAUUCAGGGUGUCUUUCUGGGAAUUUAGCAUUUGUGUACCCAGGAGGAUCAUAAGGUGAGACUCAGAGCUCUGUACAGGCAACAACCACAUCUGCUUU
rnacentral:lncRNA from 1 species